rnacentral:rRNA from 1 species
UGAGGAAUAUUGGUCAAUGGACGGAAGUCUGAACCAGCCAAGUAGCGUGCAGGAUGACGGCCCUAUGGGUUGUAAACUGCUUUUGUAUGGGGAUAAAGUUAGGGACGUGUCCCUAUUUGCAGGUACCAUACGAAUAAGGACCGGCUAAUUCCGUGCCAGCAGCCGCGGUAAUACGGAAGGUCCAGGCGUUAUCCGGAUUUAUUGGGUUUAAAGGGAGCGUAGGCUGGAGAUUAAGUGUGUUGUGAAAUGUAGACGCUCAACGUCUGAAUUGCAGCGCAUACUGGUUUCCUUGAGUACGCACAACGUUGGCGGAAUUCGUCGUGUAGCGGUGAAAUGCUUAGAUAUGACGAAGAACUCCGAUUGCGAAGGCAGCUGACGGGAGCGCAACUGACGCUUAAGCUCGAAGGUGCGGGUAUCAAACAGGAUUAGAUACCCUGGUAGUCCGCACAGUAAACGAUGGAUGCCCCGCUGUUGGUACCUGGUAUCAGCGGCUAAGCGAAAGCAUUAAGCAUCCCACCUGGGGAGUACGCCGGGCAACGGUG